rnacentral:rRNA from 1 species
UACGGGGGGAGCAAGCGUUGUUCGGAUUUACUGGGCGUAAAGGGCGCGUAGGCGGUCAGCACAAGUCAGUUGUGAAAUCUCCGGGCUUAACCCGGAAAGGUCAACUGAUACUGUGCGACUAGAGUGCGGAAGGGGCAACUGGAAUUCUCGGUGUAGCGGUGAAAUGCGUAGAUAUCGAGAGGAACACCUGCGGCGAAGGCGGGUCGCUGGGCCGACACUGACGCUGAUGCGCGAAAGCCAGGGGAGGCGAACGGG